rnacentral:lncRNA from 1 species
UCCUUCAUAUGUAGGACAAAUUCUCUCUAGAAAUCACACAAACAUCACUUAAAACUCAACCAAUUUUAAGCACUCUUUCCUUCUUUGUGAUCCACCAAAACCAAAGGCCAAAAAUAAGGUUGUUGCCUUCGGGUUUUCAUCCUCCAUUUUAGCCCCUUGCACCUUCAUUUUGCUUGGUAUUUUCACCUACAUUUACGUCUGAAUGUUAGUUGAUUUGGUGCAUUAAAAUGGGUACUCAAAACAAUAGCUAGGCUGUUCUUUUUCUUGCUUCUUUGCUGGAAAUUCUGAGCCAUACACAACCAAAACAGUGGCUGUUUUCAAGCACCAAAAUAACCCAAAAACAUCUUCAUUUUUCUGCCCAUUUUCGAGAUCUAAACAUCCCCAUAACAUGCUGAUUUCAAGUGUCUAUAAACCCAAGAAAACCUUCAUCGUGUUCCUUAAAAUCAUUGUAUCUCAACACUCUUUUUGGUAACACACGUCUAGAUCCAAGAAUAAGCAAGGUAAACACUUGUUUCCUACCUUUCUUUUGUCAUAAAACUCACUUAUUUUAAGUGAGUUAAAUCUUGAUAAAAGUCUAAAUUAUUGUUAAUGUAUGUCUUUAUGUGUUAAGACAUCCCAAAAAUCAUUCAAAUCUCAAGCUUCGUUGGAACCGGAAACUUCAAGGAUCUUUCUAAUAACGUUACGCGACAAAAGUGAGUUUCUAUGACCCCUCUUUAUAUUUUACAAGUUUUAGGGGAUAAUACAUGCUAAAUGAUGUCUAUUUGGAUGAUAUAAAAGCUUAGCUAAGUAAAAAUACAUGUUAUUUUACUAAACAUUUCUAGGCUUAUUUUUCAGCUUUUACAAAAAAAUUACGGUCUGUUCAAGAUCUUUUCCUCAUCUUAAACCCUAUGGUUUGCAAAACCAUACCAUAUACUAGUAGCUCAGAUCGAUACCUUUUCAGGGACUACUCACACAUGUUCAUAUAAUUUUUCUAUAAUUUAUUAUGAUUUUACAAAACAGCAUAUCAUUUAAGUACAUUUCGGACCAGUCUAUAAAAAUGGUCAUUUUCACCCUAUUUAAAAUCCAAAUCAAGUCAGGGAAAAAAUCAUGGACAAAUUAGAAUCAAUUUCUAAACCUUGAGAAUUUACGGAUCCUAAUUCCGAUCCCCGAUGAUUUUUCUAGAUUUUUUCUAUAAUAUGGACUGAAUAGACAUUUUAGAUUAAUUUCCCAGCCUUGUCUCAUUGGGUUAAAUUGGCUUUUAAGUGAUAUAGAUGUUGUAUAUAGGUGUUGAUUUUUAAAUAUAUAUAUAUAUAUANNNNNNNNNNNNNNNNNNNNNNNNNNNNNNNNNNNNNNNNNNNNNNNNNNNNNNNNNNNNNNNNNNNNNNNNNNNNNNNNUAUAUAUAUAUAUAUAUUUAUAUGCAUACACACACACACAUUUAUGUAUCAAAAGAACAUAAACGGAAAUGUUAUAUGUGUUCGUUAAAAUGUUUUCCUUAUGUAUGUACACAUUUAAAUUGCAUUGUUUUCACACGCAUUUUACUACUAUAGUUGUAGAAGUUUAGAUUGUUAAGGUUUUAGUUGGUUUCACUUAGGUUGAAAUGUAGUUUUAGUCAAAACGCUGUCGUUAUGCUACCCGAUUUGGAUAGGAAAAUUUUUGCAGCUUUACACUUAGGAUUCAUUAAGCUUUACAAUCAAAAUUUUCCGAGCAUAAACAAUUGGGAAUUGUAUUUACACAUUUUUUAAGCUUUACAACCAAAAGUUUCCGAACACAAACAAUUGGGAAUUGUAACUAAAACAAAGGAUUGUUGUGGAAGUUUCUCAUUCACCAAACUAAUAAUACCAACUUAGUGAAGUCCUUUGUAAUAACCGUUAAUCCUUUGUGAGUGAAAAAUGUUGUGUAUAGAUCUAUACGUGUUGACACCCCCAUCUGUAUGGUUGCAAGCUACAACCUUCGUGUGACGAGAUAACUCGGACGAUAACUUCUUGUUUUUAUCUUAUUCUUUAUUCACGAUGUCCAUGAAGCGUCAUUAGGACAACAAACACCACCCUAUUUAUUGUGCUUCACGGAGGCGUGAACAAGUCAUAGCUUGGUUAUUUACUCCACAAAAUUCCGGUUACAAAAAUACUAUUACAAACUAGGAUAAGGUUGUAUGUAGUAUAAAGAUUAUUUGUAGAUUGUUAACCAGUUUGGUAGUGUUUAUUUAUAUAAACACUUAAUAUUUCACUUCAAGAAAAUAUUUUAAUAUUUUACUUAUUCAUUAUAAGUAUAUUAACAGGAAUACUUUUCUCAGAUUACAAGUAUUGGGUCUCACACGAUGCAUAUCGGUAACACUGUUGACUAUGUUUUUGCACAAACUAUUCGGAUAAACAUUCUAUAUUUUAUAAACAUUUACUCUCGGAUCAGGAUUAAGUGUAGUGUUUUAUUUAAAUAAAAUAAACACUUAAGAGUAUACAAUACGAAAUCAUGUUGACUUCAAAUUAUAUUUCAUAAGUAAAUCAACAUCCAUACUUGUAUGGGAUUACAAGUACAUUUACACUUAGAUCAGGAUGACACUUCUCAUUAUUGUUUUACCACUCUGAAUUAUAAAAGUAACAUUUUUGUACAAUCAGAUAACGGUUGAUUUUUACACAAAAGUCCUCUUUUAAAAAAUAUAAAUUGAGUCAAAACUUGUAGAACUCACCAACAAUUUUGUUGACGUAUUCUUGCGUGUAUUAUCAGGGAAAUAGAAGCUGGAUAAUAAGCCUCACGACUUGGAAUAACCUUUCUUGGCUAACCUAUUAAGGCCUUUUUGUUUUUGUUACAUUAUGACUUGCUAAACUUUUUUUUGUAAACUUGUAUUUUGAAGUUUGAAUCAAUGAAAUCCUUGUAUACAAAUCUAUGAAGACAUGUAAUGUUAUUCAAAUCUUGUAUUGUUCAAUGUAUUUUUGUUAACUGUGAUCUAAUUUUCAAGGUCGCAACCUCGGUGCGUCCACCGCUGGCCAGGGUGUGACAUCAACUCACAAGGUUCAGAUGGAAACCAAGAUGAAGAUAAAUAUGUACAAAUGUUGUUCAUAUUCUGGUUUAUUCAUCAACACAUACACAUGCAUAAAAUUUAAAUCACACACUCAGUUUUUCGAGUUUGUUCUGAAACACAUACACACACUCGGUUUUAUGGGUUUGCUCCUUAACACAUAUAUACAAAUAAUCAAUUUUGGGUUUUCUCUUUAAGAACACUUGAUUUUUUAUGUUUGUUGCUGGAACUAAAAACCAAUUUCCGAAUCUGAAAAAGUUUAUGGGUUUCCAAGAACAACCAAUUUCUACAAAAUCAAUUUCAUAUGUGUGUUUUCAAAUCAUUUAUAGGUUGAAGGGUUAAUGGACUUAAAUAAGUAGACGAUGACACUGAAUAAAAUUGAAGCUGAAAUCAUCCCAUAACUCGAUUGGGUUACAAGAAUCGGAGCUAAAAUCAAUACUGAAUCAAGAAGAUAGUGUGUGUGUAUGUGUAUGUUAUGUUAUUGGUUCACCGAAAUCCAUUAUUCCUCUCUUCUACCAGAAUCAGAGCUGAUCUAAUUCACAUUUCAAAGAGUAAUGAAGUGAAGAAGGUGAUGUUGCGUUGAUGAACAAGUAUGGUCAAGGUUAUGAUGAACAACCAAAGGCGAUGAUGGUGAUGGUAAUUGGUGGUGGCAGAGGGUGAUGUUCAUAAAGACGUUCUUAUGUGUGUGGUUUUUCAAGAUCUUACUGAGUGUGUAUGUAUGUGUGUUCAUAAAGAACAAAUCCAAAUGGGUGGAGAUAGAUAGAUAGAUAGAUAGAUAGAUAGAUAUAUAGAUAAAGAGAGAGAAAGAAAGAAAGAAAGAGAAAGAGAGAGAAAGACCCCCUUCUUUCUACUAUCUAUUAAAUAUUAUAAAAAUAUUACAAAAAUUAUUUAAAUAACAAAAAUGAAUAUUUAAA